rnacentral:lncRNA from 1 species
AAGAUCACGUUUUAUAAGGCCUGAGUGAUAUCCCACUCUCCUAGGUUUUAUGCUAUUUUGUCUUGGAAUUUCAUGUCAGUACCCAUGUAGUACAAGGAAAGAGGCAGUGCUUGUCGGCGCCUGUGUAGGGACUAAGGCAUCAGAGCAUGGCUUGCUUGGCCUUCCAUCGCAUCCUGAAUCUUCUCAAGGUGAGAAGUCACCCCUGGAAGGAGCUCAAAGGCAGAGGCCACAGCAGAGACAGACAAGCUUCUGCGUGGGGACCAGGCUCUUUCUGGGUAUCAUUGCUGCUCUUGCCAACUCCAGGGUAGGUAGGUAUGGGUCUAGGGAUGGCCUGCGCUGUUCUCUUCUCUGCACAUGUUGGUUGGCUGAAGUUGUAACCUGCUGCACAUUUGUGGUCUGACAUGGCCAGUGGCUUUCAUCUCACCUGUGAGUAACGCCUGCCCAAUUGACAGAAGUGUGGUGCGAUGGGCUCUGCCCUCGCCCUCCCAGGCCACUCUUUACAGACACUGGCAUCAUCCGACACACUGUCUAGAGGUUGGUGGGAAUAGUUCUCAGAACCCUGUCUGUGGUUAUUUUGGGGAUGGGGGUCCAUGUCCAGAUUUUUCUUUGAUUAUAUGAUAUAUUUUUACUUUCAGCCUUCUAAUUUAAUAAGUGGUCUAUAUAAAAUAGAAAAAUAAA